GUUCGCGGAAGAGAUGGGGAAACUGAGGCAUGAGUGGGCCAGCGGGGAGGCCGCUCAGGGUUGCUGUGUCCACAUAAGACCGACAGUGUCCUCACUGGGCGGUGAUGGAAUGAGGAGCAUUCGCCCCACGGUGGAUAGCCCCAGACUCUGCCCCCAGAGCUGAGGAGGCACUCCCAGUUUCCGUGUCCCCACACCGUGCUGCCAUUCGGGAACUCCCCUGCCUCCGCCCUGGCGUUUGGUCUCCAUUCAGCUAGAGGGCCUUGAAAUCUCUCAGUUCACCUAUUCUGAGGAAUAAAAUGCCCUCCAACUGUCUGCCUCCCCCUCAUCGAUCACGUACAUGCUCACGCUGAUGUGCUUGUGAUGGACCCCUGCGGCCUGCACUGGCCCCUUCAGGCCUCAUCAUUGUCAAAUCUCUAAUUUGCUCAACAUUCAAUAGUGCUCCCCACCCCUUUCUAGACUCUUUUUUCUCCUUAUGCCUUUCCCUUCCUCUGGCCUGGAGAAAUGGGCCGCCCAGUAUGCUUGCUCUCUUCUUGGCCAUGCGCUGCAGAGGCAUGGAGCCAGUCCUGAGUUACAGAAACAGAUUCGACAACUGGAGAGCCACCUGAGCCUUGGAAGAAAGCUUCUACGCCUGGGUAACUCAGCAGAUGCCCUUGAGUCAGCCAAAAGAGCUGUUCACCUAUCAGAUGUUGUCCUGAGAUUCUGCAUCACUGUUAGUCACCUCAAUCGAGCCUUGUACUUCGCCUGUGACAAUGUCCUGUGGGCUGGAAAGUCUGGACUGGCUCCCCGUGUGGAUCAGGAGAAGUGGGCCCAGCGUUCAUUCAGGUACUAUUUGUUUUCCCUCAUCAUGAAUUUGAGCCGUGAUGCUUAUGAGAUUCGCCUACUGAUGGAGCAAGAGUCUUCUGCUUGUAGCCGGCGACUGAAAGGUUCUGGAGGAGGAGUCCCAGGAGGAAGUGAAACUGGGGGACUUGGGGGACCAGGGACUCCAGGAGGAGGUCUGCCCCAACUGGCUCUGAAACUUCGGCUGCAAGUCCUGCUCCUGGCUCGAGUCCUUAGAGGUCAUCCCCCACUUCUGCUAGACGUGGUCAGAAAUGCCUGUGAUCUCUUCAUUCCUCUGGACAAACUAGGCCUCUGGCGCUGUGGCCCUGGGAUUGUGGGGCUUUGUGGCCUCGUGUCCUCCAUCCUGUCUAUUCUCACCCUAAUCUAUCCCUGGCUACGACUCAAGCCCUGACCUUCCGGUACAGGAUAAGGAGGGGACCUGAAUUGGUGAGAUGGAAUCUUAGAUCGUCCCCCAUGUGCCAGCCUCAUUCGAAUUCUACUCUUUGGUUAAAGUUAGAAAUUCAGAGAUUUAGGGGUGGAGGAAGAGCUUUGGGGAAGAUGAGGUAAGGAAAGAUGACUCGUGAAGUUAAUAGGAUGUCUCUAAUUUCUAGAUGUGCCUGAGCUUCUGUUCUUUUCCUCUUUCUUUGUGUCUCUCUUGAAUAUAUUUACUUUGUGUCUCUUAACUCUGUUUAAGGUUCUGUGUCUAUGCAUCUCUCUCUUUCUUUUUUCAACCUUCUCAUUCUCCUAUCCAGGGAUUUAAUCAGCAGAAUUACUUUUUGAUAGGGGAGGUAUAAGGUUUGGCCUGUAAGGUUCUAACUGCCUUCUUUUUUCUCACAGAGGUGGCUUAUGGCAGAUUUUUCCUCCUUCAAACUCCAAACAUAAUUUUUAAGACUAUGUGCCAGUGGACUCUUCCCUUAUAUCUCUGCACCACAAGUUGUUGGAUGUUUCCUCUUCCUCCCUUAUGUCUACCUCACCAACCUCGCUCAUCAUUUGGCCCUUAUCCUUCCUUGUACACCUACCUUCAGAUUUCUGCUUACACUUUGAUUUCAGAGCUUUAUUCCCCAGUCUGUUCUUACUCCUUUGUCGCUUAUCCAGAAUGAUGCUAUGUGUAGCAUCUUGCUGUAAAUCCUGUACAAUGAUUCUGUGUAAAUAGCUGUGGCCUAUGCCAAUAAUGAAGAGCAAGCCUUUCAGGUAAGCAAAUUAAAGUUCAGUUUGCUCAUCGACA